rnacentral:rRNA from 1 species
UACGGAGGGUGCAAGCAUUGAUCGGAAUUACUGGGCGUAAAGGGCGCGUAGGCGGUUAGAUAAGUCAGAUGUGAAAUUCCGGGGCUCAACCCCGGAGCUGCAUUUGAAACUAUCCAACUAGAGUACAGUUAGGGAAAACGGAAUUCCACGUGUAGCGGUGAAAUGCGUAGAUAUGUGGAAGAACAUCGGUGGUGAAGACGGUUUUCUGGGCUGAAACUGACGCUGAGGCGCGAAAGCAAGGGGAGCAAACAGG